rnacentral:misc_RNA from 1 species
CUUGCCACAAGCCCAUGCAUGAACUACACUGCGAAGUGAUACUGCAAAAAUUGCCUGGAUAACGUAUACUAGUGAUAUGCCCAAUGCACCAGCUGCACAGAGAAUGCCUCCAAUAACCCAGUUUGAUGGGAGCACUUGCAGGGACUCGUCAAUUGAGCUAUUUUGUGAUGGAACACCUGUGAUCGGCUGCCCUUUGUAUAGAGUCACAAUUAAGGCUCCUGCAACUGAUAACAUGGUGCCCACAGACUUGGCCUGGCUACCUUGUAAUCUCA